UACGGAGGGUGCGAGCGAUGCUCGGAAUCACUGGGCGUAAAGCGUACGCCGGCGGCUCGUUAAGUCGGGUGUGAAAGCCCGGGGCUCAACCCCGGAAUUGCGCCCGAAACUGGCGAGCUUGAGUACGGGAGAGGGAUAGCGGAAUUCCUGGUGUAGAGGUGAAAUUCGUAGAUAUCAGGAGGAACACCAGUGGCGAAAGCGGCUUCCUGGCCCGAUACUGACGCUCAUGUACGAAAGCGUGGGGAGCAAACAGG
rnacentral:rRNA from 1 species